GCACAGAGAGGAGACCCAGAGGAGCAGGAGGACCAGGUGUGAAGAUGCAGUCAAACCAGAGGGAGACUCACCUGGACGGAGACGGGAAAAAGUGGACAUAUUUCCCUUCAGAGUUAAAACUGUAGUUUUUAUUUCAUUCUCAUAGCUCUUCACUUGCUGUUUUUAUUUCUGAUGUUUUCAUUAUGAAUUGCAUAGUAGAGAAGAAUUUCAUUGUUGCUGAAAUGUCUUUUAUAGAUGAACUUGCCUUGAAAUAUCAGAAGCAGUGGCUUGUAGCUGAAUAUCCAUAAUGCUUUAUUAAUGCUGAUACGUUACUUGUUUGCACUAUUCAAAUGUAACGCAAUAAAUUGCCUUUAAUAAAUACUGAUCACCAUCUCAUCCAGUCUUUCUUCAUGGAAUUAAAGGACAAAGGGCAGAAAUAAAAUGUAUUUUAGCAGUUAAAUGGUCUCCGUGUUUGAAUGAGAAAACAUGUAACCCAAAAUGUACUUGGCCACUAAAAUAAAUGAAGUAAACUAAGUA